rnacentral:rRNA from 1 species
UACGUAGGGGGCAAGCGUUGUCCGGAUUUAUUGGGCGUAAAGAGCGUGUAGGCGGCCAGAAAGGUCAGCUGUGAAAACUCGAGGCUCAACCUCGAGACGUCGGUUGAAACCAUCUGGCUAGAGUCCGGAAGAGGAGUGUGGAAUUCCCGGUGUAGCGGUGAAAUGCGCAGAUAUCGGGAAGAACACCCGUGGCGAAGGCGGCACUCUGGGACGGUACUGACGCUGAGACGCGAAAGCGUGGGGAGCGAACAGG